GCGGAGCGGAGCGGAGCGGGG
rnacentral:miRNA from 1 species